rnacentral:lncRNA from 13 species
GAGAUACAGGAGUAAACAAGACAGGGAAGGGUCACAUUUGAAGCAGAGCAAACAGCAAAUGUGAAGGCUUUGAGUUGGGAACAAGUAGAUACCUGUGGCCAGGCAGGAGGAGGAGCCCCCAGGAACCAUCAGGGGCAGGGCAAAGGUGUACUUAGGUUACAUUUUAUUCCAUUAAAACAUUUCCUCCUGAUCUGCUUUUCAUUUCUUUUCAUUCCUGCUCAUGUGUUGACCUCAGUUCAGUUGGGAGCAUUGCAGCUGGAAGGCAGAAAAGGGGAAGAGGGCUUACAUGGUACCACUGACUGUCAGGAAAUGAUCAUAUUAGGUUAAAAAGAGAGGGAUGAGGAGAGAGAAACAAUUGAGCUCUGUUUCCUGAGCCACAGAGCUAGCAUCAGGCCCCCCACUGAAGAAAGCACAAACAAAAGCUUCAUUUGUUUCCCAGUGGCACUGCCCUCUAAGGCCUCUCCACAGAAAAGAGGUCCGAAAGAAGCCUAUGAGAUUUCUUUUUACAUACCGAGGAUGAAUGUUGAAAACAGAGUCUCACUUUGCCAUCCAGGCUGCAGUGCAGUGGCUCUAUCUCAGUUCAAUGCAACCUCCACCUCCUGUGUUCAAGCGAUUCUCGUGCCUCAGCCACCAGGAGAGCUGGGAUUAUAGGUAAGCACCACCAAGCCCAGCUAAUUUUUGUAUUUUUUAGUAGAGAAGGGGUUUUGCCAUGUUUGCCAC